ACGAGGAAGUUAAAGAAUGUUAUUAACAUGUCUUUUAAAUCACGGUGAUUUUAUGUUAGUAUAAAUAUGGUUGGUUGAUCAUCUCAUCAUACAAAUACAAUGUGUGAAUCACAACUCUUUUAGUUGAGAAAUUGAUAGCAAAACUAAGUGAUUCUAUAAUUCUAAUUAACGGAUAAUUGUGUACAUUAAGACAAACUUUACCACCCUACAUACCACAUCUAAGAACUUCUUUGGACUUUCUAACCCAAUAUAUUUCAAUAACUAUGCACG
rnacentral:lncRNA from 1 species